GGCAACAUCGCAAUAUCAUAUGUUUUAAAUUUUCAUCUUAAAGAUAACAAAUCUGUGAUUAUACAUUGUGUUUGAUUGAAUACGUUGUGCGGGCCUUACGCGUCCCCAAUGAAGCGUUCGCAAUGAAUAGUAGCAAUGGUAAAUGAAUGUCAUGAAGAUGAAAUCAGGACAAAUGGAAGUGAGAAAAGAAAAGUAACGCUGGGCGUGAACGGUGGUCUAAGGCAGAAAAGUCACUAGUAUGUGAUUAUUUUAAGGAUCAUAUUCAGAAGAAAAUUGCGUCCAAAACAGGCGAGUGUGCAGAAUGGAUCCCUAAAUAUAAGGACUUUCCAAAGAAUAAAGACUGGCUGAAAAUAAAGACUUAUGUCUAAUACUAAAGUGUAUAAUACUUUUAGAGCAAAAUGACCCAUUUUACCAUUUUUCAUUUUAAAUUAGAAAUGUUUAUUAGUUUAACCGAAUGCAUUUUUCUUUAAUAGUUAUGUAAUAAGAUAUUUUACUUUUUCUUUAGUUUAUUUCUAUUUUUACACACAUGUUUGUUCUACCGAAUAUAACCUUUUUUUUUAAUAAGAUGUGUUAAAUUAAUAAACCAUUUUAUCACA